ensembl:lncRNA
UUUAAGGGAGUUAUAUGAGCACACCUGUUCGGUUCACCUAGCCGAGUUAGGCUGCGCACCAGCCGAGCCCGAUUCAUACGGAAGCCUUAAGGAGGUCAAAUAGAGCGCGAAAUUGUACCAUUAUCCUUGUUCUGCCAUUUGGUGUUUUGUACAUCAUUUGCAGCCAGUUCAGGAAAGUUUCACAAAAGUACAAUUUCUUUACAUGUUUCAAAGGUGAAAGGCCAUGACACCCUGUCAAAGGCUUUAUCUGCAUUGAGAGUUAGCAUAGGCAGGUGGUGUUUUUUUCUUCAGCGUGUUGCAUUACAUUAAACGUUGAGUUAACAUUAUCACUCAGGAGUCUGCUGGACACAACCCGUUUGGUCGGAGUUUAUGAUAUCUGGAAUUAUAUUGCUUAGUUUCUGUUAGAUUCUUGACCUCUGGAAAAUAUCGUUUUUGGUAGUAUCAGGCAAAUUCAUUAGCUAUUUAGAUUAUUUUCGGGAGGAAUUUAGUUAUUUUGAAUUCCUAGAAUGUUGGCCCCUUUACUUUUUCUCAGUCUAAAUGUUAGUAGUUCCUGGGCCUUUGGGCCACUAUCAUAAUAUUUCUGUUUAGUAAAUACCGCGACUAAAAUUUGGUAUUUAAAAAUAAAUAAAAAAGUUUUGUUUUGGAUCAGUCGGUUUCCAUUUUUCACAUGGAUCCUAGAAAAAAUUGGAACCUUUCCCUUGAAAAUAUAUUUUUGUGGAAAAAAAAUAUCCCUGAAAGCAUGAAUUCCUUUCAAAUUAGACAAUACACGUAAUAAUGUAAGCACUUCAUACAAAAAGAGAAUAACUUUUAACCAGGAGCAGUCAGUAGAAAUUAAUAUUAUUGAAGAUGCCAGUAAUGACGAUAAGUAGGAAGAGAAGUAAUACCAAUACCAAUAAUGAGGAUAAUGUUCAUUGUAGUAUUAACGUCACUAAAAGUAAUAAUAUGAUUAGGUUAUUAUAAUAAUACAUUAUGGUAACCAUAAUGUAUAGUACAGAUUAUCAUAACAUUCAUAAUGGCUAAGAGGAUUUGGUGUAGGACAUAUUGCCAUUCCCAUUUCCGUCCUAUACAGUCCUUAUCAUCACCCAACACGGCGACUGUGGGAUGCAUACACGCACACGCCCCCACACGCACAGGUCCAAUUCAGCUCUGAUUCAUACUCAGCCUUAUGUAUUUUUAAUCACAUAGCCCUGAGCUUAUUGGGACGCUUAAAGCGCUUAGAUGAUAUCCCUAUAUAAUGUUGUAUGGCUUCCUACAAUUGGCGGCUGGUGGUUCUUUAAUUUGGGAGAACAGGCUCAUAGUAAUGGCUGGAACGGAUUUAGUGGAAUGGUAUCACACAUCAAACUCAGGGUUUCUAUGCGUUUGAUACCACACCCUUCCAGCCAUUAUUAUGAGCCGUCCUCCCCUCACCAGCCUCCUGUGCUCCCUACGUGGUAGUAGACAUUCAGUCUAAGCUAAAAGCUCCCGUUGGUUUUUGUAUUGAGCCGGCUAGCCAGGCUGGGCGGUCUAGCUUACUUUACACUGUGCAAACCCAGUGCAUUAAUAAAAAUAACAAUAAAAAAAGUAAUCAAAUCUGUAAAAACAAUAUCUACUUAAUGUUGGGGCCCAGGAUACACUGCUAAAAGCCCACCUGAUCAAACUGCAAAUUAGUCGCCGUGGUAACUUUAUUACGGCCAGCCUCAGCGACGGGCACCCAUAAAUAAUUCAACUGCACUACUGUCUGGGAGCUACCAUGAUUUAAUUCUGGUAAAGAAUGGUGCGAGAGUGCGUGUUUGUGUAUGUGUGUGUGUGUGUUUCUGACAGUGUGUGUGAAACAAGAGUUUCUCUAACCGCGCUCUCAUUGGCAGGCGACCAGUGCAGCGCUAGCAGCACACACACCACCGCAGCAUAUUCCUCCCCAUCAGUUCUGUGGCUCUGUGUCAGUCAAUACAGGCUGAUCGAUGACGAUGGGGCCCUGCUGGGGGAAGGUGUGUGUGCGUGCAGGAGCCCUGGCUGAGUUAAUAUGUGGACAGUCCUCUGCAAUGAUGACGCUAUUGAUCUGGUGGUAGAUCAUAUGAAGG